UAAACCAGCAGUUGGAUUUAAAGCCUUGAU
rnacentral:piRNA from 1 species